rnacentral:rRNA from 1 species
AUUGAGCGCUGGCGGCAUGCCUUACACAUGCAAGUCGAACGGCAGCAUGGAAGAGCUUGCUCUUCUGAUGGCGAGUGGCGAACGGGUGAGUAAAGCAUCGGGACGUACCGUGUAGUGGGGGAUAACGUAGCAAAAGUUACGCUAAUACCGCAUACGCACUGAGGUGGAAAGCAGGGGAUCGCAAGACCUUGCGCUAUACGAGCGGCCGAUGUCAGAUUAGCUAGUUGGUAGGGUAAAGGCCUACCAAGGCGACGAUCUGUAGCGGGUCUGAGAGGAUGAUCCGCCACACUGGGACUGAGACACGGCCCAGACUCCUACGGGAGGCAGCAGUGGGGAAUUUUGGACAAUGGGGGAAACCCUGAUCCAGCCAUGCCGCGUGAGUGAAGAAGGCCUUCGGGUUGUAAAGCUCUUUCGGCUGGGAAGAAAUCGCACAGGCUAAUACUCUGUGUGGAUGACGGUACCAGCACAAGAAGCACCGGCUAACUACGUGCCAGCCGCCGCGGUAA